rnacentral:rRNA from 1 species
AAGUCGAGGGGAAACGACAUCGAAAGCUUGCUUCCGAUAGGCGUCGACCGGCGCACGGGUGAGUAACGCGUAUCCAACCUGCCCAUCACUUGGGGAUAACCUUGCGAAAGUAAGACUAAUACCCAAUGACGUCUCUAGAAGACAUCUGAAAGAGAUUAAAGAUUUAUCGGUGAUGGAUGGGGUUUGCGUCUGAUUAGCUGGUUGGAGGGGUAACGGCCCACCAAGGCUACGAUCAGUAGGGGUUCUGAGAGGAAGGUCCCCACAUUGGAACUGAGACACGGUCCAAACUCC